CCUGGGAGUGAUCUCCACUGAGACAGAGAGACUUUUAAAACUGAAGCAAGAUAAGGAAAACUUACAAACAAGUCAUCGGUGCUUUUAUUCAGAAGGAGCGGCCCAUGGACUUCAUUUAUAAGUAAAGAGCUGAUUCUUCAGUGU